rnacentral:rRNA from 1 species
UACGUAGGGUGCAAGCGUUGUCCGGAAUUAUUGGGCGUAAAGAGCUCGUAGGCGGUCUGUCGCGUCUGCUGUGAAAUCUCAGGGCUUAACCCUGAGCUUGCAGUGGGUACGGGCAGACUAGAGUGCGGUAGGGGAGACUGGAAUUCCUGGUGUAGCGGUGAAAUGCGCAGAUAUCGGGAAGAACACCCGUGGCGAAGGCGGCUCUCUGGGACGGUACUGGACGCUGAGACGCGAAAGCGUGGGGAGCGAACAGG